UGCCUCAGUACGGCGAGUGAAGCGGCAACAGCUCAAAUUUGAAAUCUGGCCCCUUCGGGGUCCGAGUUGUAAUUUGUAGAGGAUGUUUCGGGUGCGGCGCCGAUCUAAGUCCCUUGGAACAGGGCGUCACAGAGGGUGAGAAUCCCGUACGUGAUUGGCGACCAAUCCCAUGUGAAACCCCUUCGACGAGUCGAGUUGUUUGGGAAUGCAGCUCAAAAUGGGUGGUAAAUUUCAUCUAAAGCUAAAUACCGGCCAGAGACCGAUAGCGCACAAGUAGAGUGAUCGAAAGAUGAAAAGCACUUUGGAAAGAGAGUCAAAAAGUACGUGAAAUUGUUGAAAGGGAAGCGCUUGCGACCAGACCUGUCCGCGGGCGAUCAACCUCCGUUCUCGGGGGUGCACUUGUUCGCGAUCAGGCCAGCAUCGGUUUGGGCGGCGGGAUAAAGGCCUUGGGAACGUAGCUUCCUUCGGGAAGUGUUAUAGCCCUCGGUGCAAUGCCGCCAGCCCGGACCGAGGACCGCGCUUCGGCUAGGAUGCUGGCGUAAUGGUCGUAAGCGACCCGUCUUGAAACACGGACCAAGGAGUCUAACAUCUAUGCGAGUGUUUGGGUGUCAAACCCAUACGCGUAAUGAAAGUGAACGGAGGUGAGAACCCUUAAGGGCGCAUCAUCGACCGAUCCAGAUGUCUUCGGAUGGAUUUGAGUACGAGCAUAGCUGUUGGGACCCGAAAG
rnacentral:rRNA from 1 species